rnacentral:lncRNA from 1 species
GCCCCACUGAGGGGUGGGGAUUUGGCACUGGGCUCUUCCCUGUUUACUCGCAGUUACUGAGGGAAUCCUCAGGACCAGAAGCUUCUAAGUGCCAUUCUCUACUAAAAGGAAGAAUGGACUUGUAAAAAUGGCUAAUUCUAGGGUGAGAAAAAGUACAAGAUUUUCUGGAAUAUCUUGUGGAAGAAAACAAGAAAGAGCUCAAAGGAUGGUGGGUACAUAUCUAAAGAACGCUAGAAGCCCGCAUAAAGUGACUUCCAUUGGCCAAAUCUGACAAUUUAACAUCAAAAUGUAGAAACGAUUUAAAUAGUGAUACAAAUUAUAACACAUAGAAUAAAACAGGAAGUCGUAAGUCCCAUUCUGAUAUAAAUAAAUGGAUGACUGAAGAGUUUGAUGAGAAAGGAGGUGUUUUUCAAAGUACCAUCUCACAAAAUACUUAUUAAAGGGCAUAGGACAAAAUCAACAGAGUGAAAAGACAACUUGAGGAAUGGAGAAAAUGUUGAUAAAUUACAUAUCUGAUUAGCAGUUAAUAUGCAGAAUAUAUAAAGAACUCAUAACAACAGAAUGGGCAAAGUACUUGAAUAGACAUUUUUUUUUUCCAAAGAUGGCUUAGAAAUAGCCAGCAGGUAUAUGCAAAGAUGCUUAACAUCAGAGAAGGGAAAGAAUUGGAUAAUGGAAUUUCAGAUCUGCAAGACGAAAAAGUUCUAGAGAUCUGUUGUACAAUAAUGUUAAUAUUCUUAAUAUCAUGAACUUUAACACUUAAAAUGGCUAAAAUGGUAAUGCUUUGUAUUUUUAUCAUAGUUAAAAUAAAUUUUAAAAUGUUUUAAAAAGAAAUAAGCAACAAGAGCAACUUAACAUUGGAGACACCAGAAGUUCCAGUGGCAUUGGAAAUAGCCAGGUGCGGUAGGGCAUGCCUGUAAUACCAGCGGCUUGGGAGGUUGAGGUAGGAGGAUCACAUGUUUAAAGCCAGCCUCAACAACUUAGCAAGACCCUGUAUCAUAAUAAAAAAGGGCCAGUGAUGUGGCUCAGUGGUUAAGGGCCCCAGAGUUCAAUCCUUGGUUCAAAAAAGAAAAAAAGACAUUGGAGAUACCAUUUCAAUAGGACAUUCAAAGUUAAUAUGACAAGUGAUAAAACAAAUCCUGUGCCAUCUGAUAAGAUGCAGUGAAAGAAGAAAAUCACUUCUGCAGUUUUCUACCAAAGAGGCAGAAACUAAAUCUAAUCAUGGGAGAACAUUAGAUGAAUCCAAAUUGAAGGAUAUUCUACAAAAUAGCUGGCCUGUAAUCUUGAAAAGUGUCAAAGUCAUGAACAUCAAAGCAAGAUUGAGAACUAUAUUAGAGGAAACCAAAGAGACAUGACUACUAAAUGCAAUGCAAGAUUGUAAACUAUAUCCCUUUGCGAUAAAGGACAUUAUUGGAACCACUGGCAAAAUCUGAAUGGGAUUUGAGGAUUAGAUGGUCAUAAUGUAUUGUUAAUUUCUUGAUCUUAGUGACUAUAUUGCAGCUAUGCAGGAGAAUAUCCUCAUUUGAAAGAAAUAAACAUGAAACUAUUUAGAUGCAAUGGUGCAUUAGGUCACAACUUACUCUCAAAUGAUUCAGGAAAAAAUAUUUUGUACUCUGACAGCAUCUUUUUCUAAGUGACAUCAUUUCAAAGUUUAUAAAUUAUAUAAAAAAAAAGAAAAGAAAAAUGUCUGUUAUAUUCUGUUAAGUAAAACCCCAAAAUGUGUAUAACACUGUAUUAUCCUUUAUGGUAGCCACUAGCCAGUGUGAUGACUGUUUAAAUAAAAAUUACUUAGAAUUAAAAAUUCAGACCUUAAAUUCACAUUAGCUACACUUCAAGAACUCAGUAGCCCUAUGUGGCUAGUAAACAUGCAGGUAUAGAAUAUUUCAAUCAUUGCAGAAAUUCUAUCAGCUAGCAGUGAUAUAGCAUAAUGUUUUGGUAAAAAUAGAUGCAAAGAGGGAUUAUGAGUAUGUAAGCUUUUGGAAAGAUUAUGUACCAAGUGGCUAAUUGGGUUAUUUCUGUGGGAUGAGAUUAGAUGGGUGAAGUAGCAGAAAACUCAGUUCUCAUUAUAUAUAUUUUAGAUGAUCCACAAUCCCCUACUUAAUUUAUUGCAGUAGUGUUAUAGUUUUGCUCUGGAAUCUACCCUAAAGGUCAGGUAUUGAAAGCUUGGUCCCCAGCAUAGCAAUGUUCAGAGCUGGAAUUUUGGGGAAGUGAUUGGAUUAUAAGGAAUCUGAUCUCAUCAUUGGAUUAAUUCAUUGAUGGAUCAUAAUUGAAUGCACUAUUGGAAAGUGAUGGAAACUGGAAAGUGGGGCCUGGUUGGAGGAGGUGGAUCACUGGAGUCAUGCCCUGAAAAGGUUCAUCGUCUUCUGGCCCCUUUCCUUCUUUCUCCUUCAUGGCUGCCAUAAGGUGAGUAGCCUUCCUCAGCCACAGCCUUCUGCCAUAAUACUCUGCCUUGCCUUAGGCUCAAAGUACUGGAGCCAGCUGAUCAUGGACUGAAACCUCUGAAACUUGAGCCAAAAUAAAUCUUUCCUAACUGGAAAUCCAUGUGUAGCAAAAUGAAAUAAAACCCCUCUCUCUCACCCUGCACAAAACUCAAGGACUUAGGCAUUAGCCAAGGGACCCUGCACCUACUAAAAGAAAAUGUAGGUCCAACUCUCCAUCAUGUUGGCUUAGGAACCAAAUUCUUCAGCAAGCCUCCUAAAGCACAAGAAAUAAAAGCAAGAAUCAAUAAAUGAGUCGGGCGUGGUGGCACAUGCCUGUUAAUCCAAGGGGCUCCAGAGGCUGAGGCGGGAGGAUUGCGAGUUCAAAGCCAGUCUCAGCAAAAGUGAGGUGCUAAGCAACUCAGUGAGACUCUGUCUCUAAAUAAAAUACAAAAUAGGGCUGGGGAUGUGGCUCAGUGGUUGAUUGCCCCUGAUUUCAAUCCCCAGUACAAAAAAAAAAAAUCAAUAAAUAGAAUGGUAUCAAAUUAAAAAGUCUCUUCACAGCAAAGGAAGCAAUUAACAAUAUGAAGAGAAAGUCUACAGAAUGGGAGAAAAUAUCUGCCAUCUGCACCUCAGAGAGAGCAUUAAUCUCCAGGAUAUAUAAGGAACUCAAACAAACAAACAAAUAACCCAAUCAAUAAAUGAACCAAACAGGCACUUGACAGAAGAAGAAAUAAAAAUACGAACAGUUAACUAAUAUAUGAAAAAAAUGUUCAACAUAUCUAGCACUUAGAGAAAUGCAAAUUAAAACUACACUGAGAUUCCAUCUCACUUUAGUCAGAAUGGCAAUUAUCAAGAAUUAUCAAGAAUGUUGGCAAGCAUAUGGAGAAAAAGGUGGACUCAUGCAUUGCUGGGGGGACUUCAAAUUGGUGCAAACCACUCUGGGAAGCAGUAUGGAGAUUCUUCAGAAAACCUGGAAUGAAAUAACCAUUUUACCCAGUUAUCCCGUCUUUGGCAUAUACCCAAAGGACUUAAAACCAGCAUACUAUAGUGACGCAGCCACAUCAGUGUUUAUAGCAACUCAAUUUACAAUAACUAAGCUGUGGAACCAACCUAAGUGCCCUUCAACAGAUGAAUGGAUUAAAAAAGGACUAUUACACAAUGGACUAUUACUCAGCCAUAAAGAAUGAAAUUUUUGGCAUUUGUGGGGACAUGGAUGGAAAUGGAACAUGCGAAGUGAAAUAAGCCAAUCCCCAAAACCAAAGGCCAAAUAUUCUCUCUGAUAUGCAGAUGCUAACAUACAACAGGGUGGGAAGGGAAGAAAAGUCAUUGGAUUAAACAAAGGAGAAUGAAAGGAAGGGAUGGGGAUGGAAAUAGGAAAGCUUAGACAGAACUAAACAUAAUUUUCCUAUGUUCAUAUAUGAAUACACAACCAGUGUAACUGCACAUCAUGUAAAACCACAAGAAUGGGAUCAAAAUUGUAAUGGAUUAUAUCCUAUGUAUGUAUAAUAUGUCAAAAUAUACCCUACUGUCAUAUAUAUAAACAACAAAUCAAAAAAUAAAAUAAAAAUAAAAAAUACAUCUUUCCUCCUCUAAGUUAUUUUCCUCAGGUAUUUUGUCACAGCAACAAAAAUCUAAUGCAAGUGGUUUCCUAGUC